GUGCGCUCGCGGUGCUAGCGGCACGUAGGCACGGCGCGGCGCCGCUCGUAAUCCCGCGCCGAUCUGAUAGCCGCUCGAUACGUCCACGGAUUAUUGAUGGGCGCCGAUCGGCCUCAUCACGAUCUUAUCAGUUGUUUUUUUCGUCGAAUAUUUUCCGUGAAAAGCUAAUAAAGUGCGGGCGGUGCGGCGCGGGAGGCACGUGACGCGAUGGCCGCGAUAAGCCGCCAUAUUGUUUCAGCGAGUCCGCGCCCCGCCUCCCCGCCCGGCCGCUGAAUCACGUAAGACCGCCGUGCUACAUUACUCACAGAUGCAGUGGUGCUGCUUCCGCGUACCAUAGAGGAUCGUCCACGCCGCACAUGUUACGACUGUAGGGCUACCCUAAGCUUAUGGGAGGCCGUUGGAACUGCAGAAAAAUAGGCGCACUGUUUAGUUUAGUAUAAAUAAUGGCUUUGAGCGUUUGAUAAUGAGCUUAUUAUAUUUUUGUAGUCAGUGAUAAUAGUAAAUAAUUGUAGCAAAUAAAAAAGACCUUCACUUUAAUAACAUCGACAAGUAAUACAACAAAAG
rnacentral:misc_RNA from 1 species